rnacentral:rRNA from 1 species
AUUGAACGCUGACGGCAUGCCUUACACAUGCAAGUCGAACGGCAGCACGGGAGCAAUCCUGGUGGCGAGUGGCGAACGGGUGAGUAAUAUAUCGGAACGUGCCCAGUCGUGGGGAUAACGUAGCGAAAGCUACGCUAAUACCGCAUACGAUCUAUGGAUGAAAGCGGGGGAUCGCAAGACCUCGCGCGAUUGGAGCGGCCGAUAUCAGAUUAGGUAGUUGGUGAGGUAAAGGCUCACCAAGCCGACGAUCUGUAGCUGGUCUGAGAGGACGACCAGCCACACUGGGACUGAGACACGGCCCAGACUCCUACGGGAGGCAGCAGUGGGGAAUUUUUGGACAAUGGGCGCAAGCCUGAUCCAGCAAUGCCGCGUGCAGGAUGAAGGCCUCGGUUGUAACGUAGU